UGCGCCUUGCCAGCCCGCUCAGAAACUUAAAGGAAUUGACGGGGGCCCGCACAAGCGGCGGAGCAUGUGGAUUAAUUCGAUGCAACGCGAAGAACCUUACCUGGGUUUGACAUACACCGGAAAACCGUAGAGAUACGGUCCCCCUUGUGGUCGGUGUACAGGUGGUGCAUGGCUGUCGUCAGCUCGUGUCGUGAGAUGUUGGGUUAAGUCCCGCAACGAGCGCAACCCUUGUCUUAUGUUGCCAGCACGUGAUGGUGGGGACUCGUAAGAGACUGCCGGGGUCAACUCGGAGGAAGGUGGGGACGACGUCAAGUCAUCAUGCCCCUUAUGUCCAGGGCUUCACACAUGCUACAAUGGCCAGUACAGAGGGCUGCGAGACCGUGAGGUGGAGCGAAUCCCUUAAAGCUGGUCUCAGUUCGGAUCGGGGUCUGCAACUCGACCCCGUGAAGUCGGAGUCGCUAGUAAUCGCAGAUCAGCAACGCUGCGGUGAAUACGUUCCCGGGCCUU
rnacentral:rRNA from 1 species